UGGGGUAUAUUGCACAAUGGGCGCAAGCCUGAUGCAGCCAUGCCGCGUGUAUGAAGAAGGCCUUCGGGUUGUAAAGUACUUUCAGUCGGGAGGAAGGUGGUAAGGUUAAUAACCUUAUCAAUUGACGUUACCGACAGAAGAAGCACCGGCUAACUCCGUGCCAGCAGCCGCGGUAAUACGGAGGGUGCAAGCGUUAAUCGGAAUUACUGGGCGUAAAGCGCACGCAGGCGGUUGAUUGAGUCAGAUGUGAAAUCCCCGGGCUUAACCCGGGAAUUGCAUCUGAUACUGGUCAGCUAGAGUCUUGUAGAGGGGGGGAGAAUUCCAUGUGUAGCGGUGAAAUGCGUAGAGAUGUGGAGGAAUACCGGUGGCGAAGGCGGCCGCCUGGACAAAGACUGACGCUCAGGUGCGAAAGCGUGGGGAGCAAACAGG
rnacentral:rRNA from 1 species